GACAGAGGAUGCAAGCGUUAUCCGGAAUGAUUGGGCGUAAAGCGUCUGUAGGUGGUUUGACAAGUCUUUUGUCAAAGAUCAGGGCUUAACCCUGGGCCGGCAAGAGAAACUAUCAGACUAGAGUUCGGUAGGGGCAGAGGGAAUUCCCGGUGUAGCGGUGAAAUGCGCAGAGAUCGGGAGGAACGACCCGUAGCGAAGGCGGACACUCUGGGCCGGUACUGACGCUGAGGCGCGAAAG
rnacentral:rRNA from 1 species